UAUCUUUUCCUUUAUUUUUCUUUUUGGGUUGACAUUUUGCAUGACCAUAAAAUCAUUGCUGUUAGCAAGUUGCACUGACCUUGGAUUUGAUUGGUUGCUGUUGCAGAUCAUUGGGAAAGUUGUGAUAUGGAGAUCGAGAAUAUUUUGGAUAUGCUGAUUGCUUGAGUAAGUUGGCUUGAGCUAGUAGCAGUUGAUGCCCUCUUCUGCUUGAUAAUGUUAAAUUAUGGAGUUUUCGAUUAAGUUGAGUCGAUCUGGUUGUCGAGCAUCCAAGUGAGAAAAAGAUAUUACUGAUGACCUGUCGAGAGGUACAUGUAUCCCAGGGAAAUGUGUACAGUGUUCUCUCUUUCAGGCCGACUUGAAGCUUGUGGUUGGCUUGAAUCAGUUGGUGUUCUAUGCUUCCACGUUGAGGUUUAAGUCAAAAUCUAUGUGGUGUUAAUUUUUUGUAUUAUUUCCAGGUUACCGAAGGCAGCUUUUAGUGUUUGGAUGCUGAUCGAUGGCGAUGAUAUUAUCGUUGGAGAUUGGCUUCAUUGUGGUUCAACGCUAGUACUGCGACAGAUCGACCUCAACUGUGUGGGUCAUUUAUUAUCACUCUCCUGUCAGAGAAAAAGGCAAAGGCAUCUCUAGUCACUGAAAGCUACCAACAGCAUUUGCAUCAAUAUUCCAAGGUGACGAGGCCCUCCGAAUCUGCUGCGUCGUCGCUUUGCUGGGUGGGAUAUGGCGCAUGUGACGGGCGGAGCAUAGUCGUGUGAGGGGCAUGUGGUUGGUGGAUACAUGGGUACACAGAGACUGCCGUCCUCGGUGAUAUGUCCGCAGCUGCUUCGAGCCGGAGUUGACGAAAGGAAAGAUGGUUGACUUUAUGAGGAUGCAAGGUUCUUUAGUUGAGGUUUUGAAAGUUCUGCAAGAUGAAGACAGUUCACAGCUCUCCUUGAGGUUUGUGUAAACCCAAAGGUCAAACUAUAAAGUAAGCAUCAAACUACAAAGAAAGAAUUGAGAAGUCAAAUGCUAUAUUAAGGUUCAAGUCCAAGACGCUAUGAUCAGUUGAAGUCGUAUGGGUGUCAGAAGAACAAUGACGAUGGAGAACUGAGCUUGCCUGGUGGAUUAAGAACAUUGGAUGGAGACUGGUUGGUGUCGGCUAAUGGAAAGUGAUUAAUAUAGUAGACUGACUAUUCAUGGUUUAUGAUAACAACGAGAAUGUAGAACCUGGUUGACAUUUACAAGGAUGGAAAAUGUUGGUGUUGCGA